rnacentral:Y_RNA from 1 species
GGCUCAUCUGAAGGUAUUAAGUUCCCUUGAUUGUGCAGUCAGUUCCAAAUACAACUCCUUAUUUUACUCUUUCCCCCUUCUGACUACUGCACUUGACUAAA